UUGGGGAUUUUUUUAUCAGCAAAAAAGAGGAUCCCUGGUAAUCAGUUAUAAAGAAGAGAAAAAUGUUGUACUUUGCAACAAAGCGUUAAAGCAUUUUCAGGCUAGACUAGUAGAAUUUGCUGUUGAACUCAUGCAGACAAGGAAUGAUUAGGUCCAUAUAUAAACAAAAAGGUGGUGCUUGUUUGUGAAACAUUUAUAUAGCUAGAAGCUGAAGGACCUGAAUUUUAAUCCUGUUUCAGACACUAUAGAGCGUACUUUCUUUGUAUGUUUAUUUGCCCAAAAGUUCUGGCUUACCAGAAUGGUAAUAAUACCAUUACACUUACUUUAAGGUACAUUAUAGGCUUUAGUGGAUUAUUAAUUGGAAGUGUUUUUCCCAUUUAAAGCACUGUAAAAAGUGUUAAGUAGCAAUUGGGCCUGAGUUUCUCUCUCCACUUAGGUAUCACUCUGACUGCACUGAGAUAUUCUCUUUUUUCUGAAAUUUUUGCAAGAUUUAAGUGAAAGAUUGAGGCUUUUUUUUCCUUCCCAAAUUUGGGGACUUGAAAUUCAUGUCCAUAAUCCAUACUGAGGUAUGUAAAUUUUUAAAAAUGUUUACAUGAUUUCUAAUGAUUCACUUCAAAUGCAUUUCUAUUUGCAUCUGCUGUGGAAUUCACUGGGAAAAGUAUUCUGAAAAAAAAAUCAGGCUACUUUUACAUAGGGACCUAAAUGUGCUUUUGGGAGCCUAGCUCUUAGCAUUGAAAUUAGAGAAGAUGAAUGAAUCACUAGCUAAUGGUUUGAUCCUCCUAGUCAUCUGCAUGUAGAACUGUCUUGAAUGGUUAGCUUGAUCAGGCCCUAAGCUUCUAUUUUUAAAAGUAAUUUAUUCUUUACUACGGUACAAUCAAUUUAUAUUUACUUCUUAUGUUUAGAACAUCUACAAGAGAAACAUCUGCAUAAUUAUGUAUUAAAAUGAAAAAAAUGAAAUCAUCGUAGGACAAACAACGUUAAAGUGAGGUUGAUUAUUAAUAUAUGUGGAACUGAUUCCAUUAAUUUGUUUUGUCCAAAAUACACAGUAUAAACAAAUAGCAUAUGCAGUAUCACAUAUAUUACAUAUUUUAAAAGUUUUAGCUUCUCAUCUGUAUGAUAUUACUAGUAACAUGGGUAAAGAAAUGUAUUUAUUUGAAAAAUACUAUUUUUAAGCUGUCAGUGUCCUUUUAAUACUUGACAUGCAUCUUUUUUUAAAAGAGAGAUUUCUGUACAUAAUCACAUACCAACUGCUUUUGGAGCUUUUAAAAUCCAUCAGUCUGCAUUGAAAGGGAGGAAGCUGUUUUGGUCUAUCUUUAUAUAUCUUUGGGAAAAAAUCAGUGUUUUUCAUUACAUGAAUAUGAACACCAAGGACUUUAGAGAUUAGAAUUACAGUAUCAUAAAAAAUCCCACUGACUGGAAAACAUUAAUUAGAGGUAUUAAAAUUGCUACACCAAAAUGAAUUUUGAAAUUAAGAUCUGACAUUCUUUGAAUAGGAGACAUUUUCAAAAUGGGGUGUUGACAAGUAAUUAAUAAUCAUUUGUAUGUCUUUCACCCCAAAGGAUUAUAAAGUGCCUUACAGGAUUAGGGUCUGCUCCUGCCCUGAUUAAAGUUAAUGGAAACACUGCCAAUGGGGAGGAAGACUGGGCACCUAAUAAGCUAUGUAAAAGGUUCACGUCCCUUCAUGCUAAAAUGCAGUACGUUUUUAAACAUGCACAGCAACUUUCUUUACUGGUUUAUGAUAGAAAGUGAAUAUUUCUUAUAUAUGGACGAUAGUACUGGUGAAUUUAAGUGUGCAACAUAUAUUUAUUUAAAUAAGAAUAUGGCCAGGUUUGGGGGUUAAUUUUUCAACUCAUUGCUUAAGCUUCUGUUUUAGGCUUUAUCCAAAAUACACUCACUGUAUUUUUAUUUGUACAAUAAAUAAUAGGCCCAGUGGUUUUAAUCAA